AGGUAAGAAUUUGGAAAACUCACUUUCCUGCCCUCUUGGGAUUUCAGCCGUUAUGCUGUUUGAUAUUCCUUUGUUUUAUACCCCAUUUCUCUACCAGACGUCCAUCUGAAAGCAGGGGGGCAGAGAACACGUAAAGAGGAACUGAAAGACUAAUCCAGCGCUGCCCUUGCAAGACGCAUUCUAUUUAAACUGAAAAGGUCACUGCCCGCAUGAUUGCAUCAGCCACCA